CAGUAGCCACGGUAAUCCGGAGGGGGCUAGCGUUGUUCGGAAUUACUGGGCGUAAAGCGCACGUAGGCGGCUUGGUAAGUUAGAGGUGAAAGCCCAGGGCUCAACCUAGGAAUUGCAUUUGAUACUGUUUGGCUUGAGUUCGGGAGAGGUGAGUGGAAUUCCCAGUGUAGAGGUGAAAUUCGUAGAUAUUGGGAAGAACACCAGUGGCGAAGGCGGCUCACUGGACCGACACUGACGCUGAGGCGCGAAAGCGUGGGGAGCAAACAGGAUUAGAUACCCCGGUAGUCCCUGUCUCUUAUAC
rnacentral:rRNA from 1 species